rnacentral:tRNA from 16 species
GGUGGUUGAGUGGUGGUAAAACACCCGUCUGACAAUUGAUGCAUCGCCGGUUUGAACCCCCCCCUCCCC